UGCCACUGCACUCCAGCCUGGGCAAGUAGAACAAAACUCCGUCUCAAAAAAAAAAAAAGAAAUGAUUUCCUUAACUUCAAUAAGACAGUUAUGAUGGUGGGACCUCGGCAGAAGUAUAUUGUCAUUGCUGGCUACCUUCAUGGCUUCUUUUCUUGUCAGGGUAGUAACAUUUUGUAGUCAAAUUUGCACAGAUUUGUAGCCAAGUCUACAAAGUGCUAAACAGCUCUUCUCAUUGCAUCCUGUGAGAUGGUUGUGAUGAUCCAGGAAAUGGGGUCUCAGGAGUCUGAAGAAGCCGCCUGAGCCAAGGUGUUUUUUUGUGGUAUUGAGUUGGGGUGUGGGUGUGAGUGUGUAGAUGGGGUCUCACUGUGUUACUCAGGCUGGUCCCAAACUCCUGGCCUCAAAGGAUCCUCCUGCCUCAGCCUCCCAAAGUGCUGGGAUUGCAGGUGUGAACCAUCACACCUUUGAUAUUUUAUAAUAAAAAUGUUUUUAAAAAUUUACAAGGCUCAUAUUUGACCCAGUAUGAGCUUUUUGAUUUUAUCCUGUACCUAUGUAUGAAUUUCUUUCUUGUAGGCUUGUGCAUGGGUAUCUUGAAUGGCUACUAAUUGCUGCUCUGCUUAUAAAAACAAAUGGCUAUCAAGGCUGGGUGCAGUGGGUCUGGAUCUCGAGUCCAGCCAGUCCAGAGUUUAAGAUCAACCUAUGCAGCAUGAUGAAACCCCAUCUGUACAAAAGAUCAGCAAGGCAUGGUGGCGUGCACUUGUUAUCUCAGCUACUCAGGGGUCUGAGGAGGAGGAUGGCGUGAGCCCAGGAGCUUGAGGCUACAGUGAGCUGUGAUCAUGCCACCGCACUCCAGCCUGAGUGACAGAGACCCCGGUAUCAAAAGUAGAAAGGCCAUCAGUACAAACUGUUUAAAUUAUUGUACAGCCAUACAAUGGAAUACUCUACAAAAUGGAGAGGUCCAUCCAAGAGAUAGAUAGCAAAUGAAUAAGGCAAAAUGCAUGUGUUGACAGCUGCUGUGAUACCUCAGUUCUUGUCUCUUGGUUUAAAAGAAUUUAAACAAGACACAACCAAGGAGAUAUAGCAUAAGUUACUGCAAAAUAAAAGGGUCAAUUUGAAAGGU